rnacentral:lncRNA from 1 species
GGCAUUGGAUCGGUCGGUAAGGAUGAAGUUUCUUCCAUUAAGCAUAUAUUACUUGUUAAAGGGUUAAAGCAUAAUCUCUUGAGCAUAAGUCAAUUAUAUGACAUGGGAAAUCUUGCCUUAUUUGAUUCGGAUGAAUGCUUAUUGUUUAGACGUAGUGAUUUUAAAAUUAUCCUUCGUGGUUUAGAGUGGAUAAUAUUUAUAUGGUUGAUCUUGCUAAUUCCUCACCCGAAUAUGUUGAUUGUCUUAUGAGUAAAGAGGAUGAUAAUGGUUGAUCUUGCUAAUUCCUCACCCAGAUAUGUGGAUUGUCUUAUGAGAAAAGAGGAUGAUACUUGGUUAUGGCAUCGUAGAGUAGCACACAUCAACAAGCAUCUUUUGAACAAAUUGAUUUCACAAAACUUAGUUAUUGGUCUUCCCAAUUUGAAAUUUGAAAAUGACUCUAUAUGUGAUUCGUGUCAAAAAGGGAAGCAAACAAAAGCA